CGGACGGGGGAGUAAUGUCUGGGAAACUGCCUGAUGGAGGGGGGUAACUACUGGAAACGGUAGCUAAUACCGCAUAACGUCGCAAGACCAAAGAGGGGGACCUUCGGGCCUCUUGCCAUCGGAUGUGCCCAGAUGGGAUUAGCUAGUAGGUGGGGUAAAGGCUCACCUAGGCGACGAUCCCUAGCUGGUCUGAGAGGAUGACCAGCCACACUGGAACUGAGACACGGUCCAG
rnacentral:rRNA from 1 species